rnacentral:rRNA from 1 species
GUAGGCUGCAACUCGCCUACACGAAGUCGGAAUCGCUAGUAAUCGCGGAUCAGCAUGCCGCGGUGAAUACGUUCCCGGGCCUUGUACACGCCGCCCGUCACACCAUGGGAGUUUGUAACGCCCAAAGUCGGUGGCCUAACCUUUAUGGAGGGAGCCGCCUAAGGCGGGACAGAUGACUGGGGUGAAGUCGUAACAAGGUACC